AGUGGCGGACGGGUGAGUAACGCGUGAGAAUCUGCCUUGGGGUCGGGGACAACCACUGGAAACGGUGGCUAAUACCGGAUAAGCCGAUUGGUGAAAGAUUUAUUGCCCGAAGAGGAGCUCGCGUCUGAUUAGCUAGUUGGUGAGGUAAGAGCUCACCAAGGCAGCGAUCAGUAGCUGGUCUGAGAGGACGAUCAGCCACACUGGGACUGAGACACGGCCCAGACUCCUACGGGAGGCAGCAGUGGGGAAUUUUCCGCAAUGGGCGAAAGCCUGACGGAGCAAGACCGCGUGAGGGAGGAAGGCUCUUGGGUUGUAAACCUCUUUUCUCAGGGAAGAAGCUCUGACGGUACCUGAGGAAUCAGCCUCGGCUAACUCCGUGCCAGCAUCCGCGGUAAUACGGAGGAGGCAAGCGUUAUCCGGAAUUAUUGGGCGUAAAGCGUCCGCAGGUGGCGAUUCAAGUCUGCUGUCAAAGCACGGGGCUUAACUCCGUAAAGGCAGUGGAAACUGAAUAGCUAGAGUGCCGUAGGGGUAGAGGGAAUUCCCGGUGUAGCGGUGAAAUGCGUAGAGAUCGGGAAGAACAUCGGUGGCGAAAGCGCUCUACUGGACGGCAACUGACACUCAGGGACGAAAGCUAGGGUAGCGAAUGGGAUUAGAUACCCC
rnacentral:rRNA from 1 species